GGAGGUCAUGAAAAACUCAUCAAACUCCAUCAUCAGUCAUAUGCCAAAUUGGCUAGACUCGAGUUCAUUUGUGAAUCCUAUAAUUUUUUUUUCAAUAUUCAUACUUACUCUAGCUAGAGAUUUUCUUAACUUAGUCUUACGAAUAGCAUUGGACUACUCCUUUUCUACCAACAUUAAUAGAUUCCAUCUAGAUGCACUAUAUUCAAACAGCAAAUCUGAACCUACUAUAGCCAACAUAUACAGUAAGGAUCUGAAUGGCUAGGGACCAAAGAAACAUAUAGUUAAACUAAGUAUCCUCACUGCGAAUAGCCAACACAUCAUAGGUUAAAGGGCCACUC
rnacentral:lncRNA from 1 species